UACGUAGGGUGCGAGCGUUAAUCGGAAUUACUGGGCGUAAAGCGUGCGCAGGCGGUUUUGUAAGCCAGAUGUGAAAGCCCCGGGCUUAACCUGGGAAUGGCAUUUGGGACUGCAAGGCUUGAGUGCGGCAGAGGAGACUGGAAUUCCUGGUGUAGCAGUGAAAUGCGUAGAUAUCAGGAGGAACACCGGUGGCGAAGGCGGCUUUCUGGACGAUAACUGACGCUGAGACGCGAAAGCGUGGGGAGCAAACAGG
rnacentral:rRNA from 1 species